UACAACAGGAGAGGAUUCACUCGCUGAGAAUGAAAACGAGAACAGCUCACAAAUGCCUAAGCAAAGUUCAUCAGUUCCUCAGAGCAAAGGCAGCGAGGGGUGGUGUGAUGUCAUUGGCAACAAGACGGCUGCGAUACUAAUAGGAGCCUAAAAUGAAAUGGAGCGUGCAGAGACCGGACAGGUCCCAUAGUGCUAGUUUUUCAGCACCCAAACCCCACA